CUUGCAUUCCUCUAUCAGAUCCCUGCUUGUGAAAUUACUGCUGCUGUCACACUCCUUCAGCAUCAGUCCGAUGAUCAAAGAAUCCAACUCCUGAUGAAGCUUCCACAGUCGGAGGUUGAUUGGAAGUGGGAGAAACCUGUAAGCAAGUGAUUAUGAUUCAGUUCAAUAGAUGAUCGAGCAUACCUGAA